AUCACUGACGCUCAUGGACGAAAGCCAGGGGAGCGAAAGGGAUUAGAUACCCCUGUAGUCCUGGCCGUAAACGAUGAACACUAGGUGUCGGGGGAAUCGACCCCCUCGGUGUCGUAGCCAACGCGUUAAGUGUUCCGCCUGGGGAGUACGCACGCAAGUGUGAAACUCAAAGGAAUUGACGGGGGCCCGCACAAGCGGUGGAGUAUGUGGUUUAAUUCGAUGCAACGCGAAGAACCUUACCAGGGUUUGACAUCCUGCGAAUCUCUUGGAAACAGGAGAGUGCCUUCGGGAACGCAGUGACAGGUGGUGCAUGGCUGUCGUCAGCUCGUGUCGUGAGAUGUUGGGUUAAGUCCCGCAACGAGCGCAACCCACGUCUUUAGUUGCCAGCAUUUAGUUGGGCACUCUAGAGAGACUGCCGGUGAUAAACCGGAGGAAGGUGUGGAUGACGUCAAGUCAUCAUGCCCCUUACAUCCUGGGCUACACACGUACUACAAUGCUACGGACAAAGGGCAGCAAGUUCGCGAGGACAAGCAAAUCCCAUAAACCGUGGCUCAGUUCAGAUCGUAGGCUGCAACUCGCCUACGUGAAGGCGGAAUCGCUAGUAAUCGCAGGUCAGCAUACUGCGGUGAAUACGUUCCCGGGCCUUGUACACACCGCCCGUCACACCAUGGAAGUUGGCCACGCCCGAAGCCGUUACUCCAACCCUUGUGGAGGAGGACGUCGAAGGUGGGGCUGAUGACUGGGGUGAAGUCGUAACAAGGUAACCGUAG
rnacentral:rRNA from 1 species